CCUACGGGAGGCAGCAGUGAGGAAUAUUGGUCAAUGGGCGCGAGCCUGAACCAGCCAAGUAGCGUGAAGGAUGACUGCCCUACGGGUUGUAAACUUCUUUUAUAAAGGAAUAAAGUGAGGCACGUGUGCCUUUUUGAAUGUACCUUAUGAAUAAGGAUCGGCUAACUCCGUGCCAGCAGCCGCGGUAAUACGGAGGAUCCGAGCGUUAUCCGGAUUUAUUGGGUUUAAAGGGCGCGGAGUUGGGUUGUUAAGUCAGUUGUGAAAGUUUUCGGCUCAACCGUAAAAUUGCAAUUGAUACUGGCAGUCUUGAGUACAGUUGAGGUAGGCGGACUUCGUGGUGUAGCGGUGACAUGCUU
rnacentral:rRNA from 1 species